AGCAUCCUACGGGGGGCAGCAGUGGGGAAUAUUGCACAAUGGGGGAAACCCUGAUGCAGCGACGCCGCGUGAGUGAGGAAGUAUUUCGGUAUGUAAAGCUCUAUCAGCAGGGAAGAAAAUGACGGUACCUGACUAAGAAGCCCCGGCUAACUACGUGCCAGCAGCCGCGGUAAUACGUAGGGGGCAAGCGUUAUCCGGAUUUACUGGGUGUAAAGGGAGCGUAGGUGGCAGGGCAAGUCAGAUGUGAAAACCCGGGGCUCAACCCCGGGCGGGCAUUUGAAACUGUCCAGCUAGAGUGCAGGAGA
rnacentral:rRNA from 1 species